GCAGUCACGUGGGUGUGUGUCCCAAACGAAGCUUCAGACGUCACACUCACAAACCGAGGCCUCGUUUGUCAUCAGUCACGUGAUUUUUAUGGAAACGACACAAGCCUCGAACCGGGGCUUCAUCUGGCACGCCCCUUUCUGCUCGACACAAGCUCCGAAGCCUCGCUUCAUUGGGCACAUCACUAUGUAAGAGAGUCCU